rnacentral:rRNA from 1 species
GGAAGGUGCAAGCGUUAAUCGGAAUCACUGGGCGUAAAGCGCGCGUAGGCGGCUAGGUAAGUCAGAUGUGAAAGCCCUGGGCUCAACCUGGGAACUGCGUUUGAUACUGCCUGGCUAGAGUGUAGUAGAGGGAAGUGGAAUUCCGCAUGUAGCGGUGAAAUGCGUAGAGAUGCGGGGGAACACCAAUGGCGAAGGCAACUUCCUGGACUAACACUGACGCUGAGGUGCGAAAGCGUGGGGGGAGCAAACAGGAUUAGAUACCCUGGUAGUCCACGCUGUAAACGAUGGGUACUAGCCGUUGGGGGAGUUUAUCCCCCCUUAGUGGCGUAGCUAACGCGAUAAGUACCCCCGCCUGGGGAGUACGACCGCAAGGUUA